GAUGAACGCUGGCGGCGUGCCUAAUACAUGCAAGUCGAGCGAACAGACGAGGAGCUUGCUCCUCUGACGUUAGCGGCGGACGGGUGAGUAACACGUGGAUAACCUACCUAUAAUACUGGGAUAACUUCGGGACACCGGAGCUAAUACCGGAUAAUAUAUUGAACCGCAUGGGUGAAUAGUGAAUGACGGUUUUGGUGUCACUUAUAGAUGGAUCUGAGCCGCAUUAGCUAGUUGGUAAGGUAACGGGUUACCAAGGGAACGAUGCGUAGCCGACCUGAGAGGGGGAUCGCCCACACGGGAACUGAGACACCGUCAAGACUACUACGGGAGGCACCAGUAGCGAAUCUUACGCAAUAGUCGAAAGCCUGACGCAGCAACCCCGCGUGAGUUAUGAAGGCCUUCCGAGCGUAAAACCCUCUUAUUAGGUAAGAACAAAUGUCUAAGUAACCAUGCACGUCUUGACGGUACCUAAUCAGAAAGCCACGGCUAACUACGUG
rnacentral:rRNA from 1 species